rnacentral:rRNA from 1 species
UACGUAGGCAGCGAGCGUUGUUCGGAAUUACUGGGCGUAAAGCGUGCGCAGGCGGUGAUGUAAGACAGUUGUGAAAUCCCCGGGCUCAACCUGGGAACUGCAUCUGUGACUGCAUCGCUGGAGUGCGGCAGAGGGGGAUGGAAUUCCGCGUGUAGCAGUGAAAUGCGUAGAUAUGCGGAGGAACACCGAUGGCGAAGGCAAUCCCCUGGGCCUGCACUGACGCUCAUGCACGAAAGCGUGGGGAGCAAACAGG